AAAUAAGAACCCUAGCUGAAAAAUUUGAGAAAAAUCAAGAGAAAUCAAGAAAUCAAGCAUUAAAAAGGUAAAUUUCAUUGAUUUUCCUUGUGAUUUUCACUACCCAUGCAUUUUUUUCUCAUUUCCAUGCAAAAUUAGAAAGUGGGUAUGGACACCCAUGCUGGCCAAACCUCCAUGGAUGAGUUUUGAGCUUGAGUUUUGGUUGAUUUUAAUUGAAUUAAGUGAUUUUAGUUAGGUUAUAUUGAAAUAUAGCAAAAAUAAGCUAGAGAAAUAAUUUUCUCCCAUUGAAACCCAUUAUGCCGAAUUUUCUAGGGGAAUAUUGGCUGCUGAUCUUGAUGUUUAUUUGAGGAAUUAUGAUGAAUAAUGAUGAAUUAUGAGCCUAGAAAAAUAAUGGGAAUUUUCGGAGCAAAAAUAUGAAUUUUUACCCACUAGGGGUAUUUUCGUAAUUUGCUAUCGGGACUGAUAAUUUGCACCACACUGAGGGACAUUAAGUCAAUUUGGGUGCAAUUGAGGUAUAGAAACUGAAAAGAAUUAAUUUGGAGUUUAAACGGACGCGUAUAUCGAUUUAUCGGGUAAAAGACCGAAAUAGGCUAACAUCGCGUUUAGGCAAAAUUUAGACAUUUUGCACUUCAUAUCAUGCAUUAGUAGUAUAAAUUAUUUUAUUUUGGUUUAGUACCAAAGUAGUAAACCUCUUAAUUGUGCAAUUUGUCAAGGUGGCGAUUCCUCUGGCAAGGGCAAAGAAAUCGCACCAGAGGAGUAAUAGUUGGAGUACCCGAAUUUAGUUUUCGAAAACUGUGAGUAAACUUAUUAUCGUCUUAAUUAUCUAGAGUAGUUUUAUACAAUUGUGUGAUUUUAUAGAAAAUGGGUUUAAAUGGUAAAUUGCUAUGUUUUAGGAGAAAUUGUGGUUUUAUAAAAUGAUUUUAUAAAUUUUCUAGAAAAUUGAAUACUGGUUUUGAAAAUAGAGUAAUUGGAGACUGCCUGCUUGUAAUAUAAAUUGUGUCUUAAAUUAUAUGGCUUAUAGAAAUAUGUGAGCAUGAAUGGCAAAGUUGGUAUUUGUAUCAAAAUUAUAUAUAUACUAUGUAUUCAGCUUUGAGAGGCUAGAUUGCGAUAAAUUGCCAUGUCAUGCAGAUAAAGAUUUUAUAAAUCAGGUGGUAGAUAAAAUAAAGAUUAGCUACUGCAGUGGUGGGGUUCCGUGGACCAGCCUAUUAGAGGGGCACGGUAAACUCCUUUAUAUUCUCACAUCGAUCGUAGAGGCGCAUAGGGUAUCUCCUGAGGUGGGCUUUUUGAGUGCACUUCACGUGGACCACCGCGUGAGAGUGAGACUCAGCCAACGCCAAGGCAUUGCUAGAAUUUCAGAUGUAAAGGCAUUUAACAGCCUUGGUGGUCUCGAUCAGAUGCCUAGGCCAAGGCAUCCUCGGGAAUGAUUUUGGCAGUAGCCAAGUUUUGUGAGAUAUAUAAGCCAUGUUGAUUAAUUGAGUAAACUGAAUAUUCAUGUUAUGAAACAUAUAUUGGAAAAUAAUAUUUUAAUUCGUCUCCAUUGACUCGUCUUUAAAUAGUUUAGAUGGUGUCUGUUUACUCACUGAGAUUAUGUAAUCUCACCCCUCUUCCUAUCCAUUUUUCAGGCUCAGGACAGUUUGUUGAUAGUUGAUUAAGAUGACAAUUAAUCUCGGAAUUGCAUCCUAUAAAGUAAGGGUUCAUAGCCCUACACCUUCUUGGUCAGUUAGGGGCCCACGUGUCACUGUAAAAGUAAUUUUAUACUUCAGUUAUCUGAUUUAAAGUAUGUAUGAACAUAUUUAUCUUUUACACCAUGUUUUUGGUAAGUUUCGGUAUUUUUGAAGAAAAAUGACAAAAAUGCCCCUGUGAGCCAAAAAAUGAUAUUUUAUUGUUUUGAUUUGGAAACAACUAUUGAUUUCUUCAAGUGCGAGAUUUGAUAACUAUUGCUCACCGGGGAAGUGCGAAAGCUGAUACAAGAGCCUUGCGAGGUUUCGAUCGGCAUUCGGGGUGAAGAAUGUUUGUCGAGGCUUCGCGGCGGUUAUCACGGGCUCGAUGAGAGUUUCAGGUCAUGACA
rnacentral:lncRNA from 1 species